AGAGUUUGAUCCUGGCUCAGGACGAACGCUGGCGGCGUGCCUAACACAUGCAAGUCACGGGGGCCCGCAAGGGUAACCGGCGAACGGGUGCGUAACACGUGAGCAAUCUGCCGAUUUCUGGGGGAUAGCCGGUCCAACGACCGGGUAAUACCGCAUACGCUCAUUGGGGGGCAUUCCCCGAUGAGGAAACCUCCGGGGGAAAUCGAGGAGCUCGCGGCCUAUCAGCUAGUUGGUGCGGUAACGGCGCACCAAGGCGACGACGGGUAGCUGGUCUGAGAGGAUGGCCAGCCACAUUGGGACUGCGACACGGCCCAGACUCCUACGGGAGGCAGCAGUGGGGAAUAUUGCGCAAUGGACGAAAGUCUGACGCAGCGACGCCGCGUGUGGGAUGAAGCUUUUCGGAGUGUAAACCACUGUUGCCCGGGACGAA
rnacentral:rRNA from 1 species